rnacentral:Y_RNA from 1 species
GGCUGGUCCAGAGGCAGUGAAUUACCUCAAUUAAUUGUUCACAGUCAGUUACAGAUCAAACUCAUUCUACUCUUUCCCCUCUUCUCACUACUGCAAUUGACUAGUCUUAA